GCCGGCGUAGCCCAAUUGGCAAGAGGCGCUUGUCUUAGGAACAAGAGGUUGAGAGUUCAAGUCUCUCCGUCGGCACCA
rnacentral:tRNA from 1 species